UACGUAGGGUGCGAGCGUUAAUCGGAAUAACUGGGCGUAAAGCGUGCGCAGGCGGCGCGUUAAGACAGGUGUGAAAGCCCCGAGCUUAACUUGGGAAUUGCGCUUGUGACUGGCGAGCUGGAGUGUGGCAGAGGGAGGUGGAAUUCCACGUGUAGCAGUGAAAUGCGUAGAGAUGUGGAGGAACACCGAUGGCGAAGGCAGCCUCCUGGGCCAGCACUGACGCUCAUGCACGAAAGCGUGGGGAGCAAACAGG
rnacentral:rRNA from 1 species